rnacentral:rRNA from 1 species
GUUUAGAACGUCGUGAGACAGUUCGGUCCCUAUCUGCCGUGGGUGUUGGAGACUUGAGAGGAUUUGUCCCUAGUACGAGAGGACCGGGAUGAACAUACCUCUGGUGCACCGGUUGUCACGCCAGUGGCACGGCCGGGUAGCUAUGUAUGGACGGGAUAACCGCUGAAAGCAUCUAAGCGGGAAACCCACCUCAAAACCAGGUCUCCCUGAGGGCCGUGAUAGACCAUCACGUUGAUAGGCCAGGUGUGGAAGAGCGGUAACGCUCGCAGCUAACUGGUCCUAAUCGCCCGAUAGGCUCGAUAUC